rnacentral:misc_RNA from 1 species
CCCUGCCACAACCUUUUACUAUGUGUUGGAUAAGGUGGACGCUUUAGUUUCAAAUUCUCACAAAGCAAAACCAUACUGAAAACGAGUUAUAACCCCUACAUGUAAAGAUUAGCUGAAUCAAUAGCAACUAGAGUCUUCUCUACAAUGAUGGUGUCAAGUUUACCAUUUCUUAAACUAAUAUUGAUUGAAUAUCACUCUGCAGUCCUGCCAGCGAAUGGG